UGCUGCUUACACAAAUGCAGAGGUCUUCCUUACAGAUGGGAAAUUGAUUUUAAGAGUUAAGCCCAUAGUUAAAAAUUCCCUCAAUUGUUAAGUCACCAAGUUUAGCUUUUAAAAAUAGUAUGUUGUAAAUAUUACCACUAAUUGGCCUACAUGAGUUCUGAAGUCUCCCAAAUCUUGUCUAUGAUUCCAUCAAAUGGCUCAUUUAUGUGCAUAUGCACAUUUCUUCAUAUAAUAAAAUUCCUAACAAACUAAUAUAGAGUCCUUGUCUUGGAUAAAAACUUCAACCACUACUCUCCUUUGUUUGAAAUAACCUGUUCUUUUGUGUCAUUUUGAGCAGCAUGUCUACAGAAUGUGGGAGAUUAAGUGUGAAGUUAUGUUCAGGAGAU
rnacentral:lncRNA from 1 species